rnacentral:lncRNA from 1 species
UGAAAUCUUGGAUAAAAGGAUACAGCCUGUAAUGCUCUCAAGCUGUCUGAACCAUGAGCCAUCUCUCUGGCUUUUCAGAGCCUCUUCGUAAGAGCUGCUCUCUGUGAAACUCCUUAUGGCAACGCUGUCGAGAAGCAAAGACGCCUGCGGAUGAUUUCUGUUGCGAACUUCUCAUGCAAUGCAACCCACAGUGUUUGAGUGGUCCCAAGGACAGGGACAAUACGUCAGAGGAAGCAGUUGCAAGUUUCAGAAGCUUUGCUUAAAUUGAUGUCAGAAGAACCAUAACUAGAGAAUGGAAGGAGAAGGAACUUGCCGUCACCUGAAGCUUAAACGUAUGAGUUUCCUGAAGGCACCUCUGUAGCCAGGCACUGUUCAACAGCUAGAAUAAACCAAGAAAAAGAAAGUUGGAAAAUAUGGUUAUAGUCUCAGGCUGGAACUGUGGGGAUGGUGCUUUUUUUUUUAACAUGAUGAGUUUUUUUACUACUCUUUCCUGUGGUGUUCUAUAUGUAGAAAAAUGACCAAGUUGUAAAUGCAACCCUAUUUCAAGAAGAAUCACAUUACCAGGACAGAUAUACUUGAAGAUGACUUAAAUCUAACAGAUUCUUCAUCUUACCUCUAUUAUUUUUUUUUACUUUUUAAUAUUUUUUAUUAUGUAUUUCCCUCAAUUACAUUUCCAAUGCUAUCCCCAAAGUCCCCCAUAACCUACCCC